UUUCUUUUCUUUUUCCUUUUUCUUUUCUUUUCCCUAUUUCUCUUCUCCUCCCGUGCGCCACGCGACCCACCUUCCCCUUCUCUCCGUUCGCGCAGCAACUGCCGCCGGCCGUCUCCGUUCCUCUUCUCCUUCCGUUCGUGCUCAGCCGCAGCCCAGCCGCCGAUCCUUUUCCUUCCGUUUCCUUCCCGCCGCGAAGCAAGACCGUGCCGCUGCCAGUCCAGAUCUGCGUUGCAGUCGUCCCGCGCGCCGAUCUGCCGUCUCCAUCUCCGUUCGCGAAGCAAAACCGCCGCCGCUCGCCGAACCCAACCGCCACCCUCUCUUUUCUUCUUCAGAUCUAAACCGUCGCGCCCAUCCGCCUGUAACCGCCGUGCCUCUCCGCUCACAACCGUCGUGCCUCCCUCGGAAAGCAAAUCGUCGUCCAGAUCUGCCUCGCCGUGAACCAUUGGGCUCAUAUUUGGGUACAUCUUGAUUCAGUGAGCGAAUCCUUGAUUUUCCAAAAGGUUGAAGUGGACUUGAUUUUCCACUUCUUGGGAUUUGAUUCAUUGGACUUAGUAGAUUGAAGAACUUGCAUAAAAGUGAGGCAAAGGUAAUAAAGGCGGCAAACAGGCGAGGGGCAGGAAGGAAGCAUGAUGCCAUAGGAAACGU